rnacentral:rRNA from 1 species
CAAUAGCAUAUAUUAAAGUUGUUGCAGUUAAAAAGCUCGUAGUUGGAUUUCUGGAGAGGGAACUUGCGCCCGCCUGCGGGUGGGCAGCAUGAUCCUUCUUCAUCCUUCUGUUAACGGCAUUCGGCCUUCACUGGUCGGUGUCGGGCUCAGUUAUUUUACCUUGAGGAAAUUAGAGUGUUCAGGCAGGCUUUCGCUUGAAUACAUUAGCAUGGAAUAAUGGAAGAGGACUGUAUUCCUUUUGUUGGUUCAGGAAUUACAGUAAUGAUUAAUAGGGAUAGUGGGGGCAUUAGUAUUUCGCAGUCAGAGGUGAAAUUCUUUGAUUUGCGAAAGACUAACUUAUGCGAAAGCAUUUGCCAAGGAUGUUUUCAUUAAUCAAGAACGAAAGUUAGGGGAUCAAAGAUGAUCAUGAUACCA